AAAUUUAAUACAGAAAAUCUAUUUGAUAUUUAUUAAACUUAGUUUCUCCAGUUACAGUUUUGCAUUGUACAAAGCAUUUUAAUGACACAGUAGUUAAAAAGAUCUUUACAAAUUGAAAUGUGAUACCCUUUUCUCCAAAUAUUUUAAUUGCCAUAAAUUUGUUUAAAAAUACACAUUAAACGCAUGUUUCAGACACUAAACUUUCUAUAAUCUCAAUACCACAAAAUACAUAGAAUAUACUAUACAGAUGUGGAAAAAAUCUAGUUAGUAUAUAAUACUUUGCUCACCAUUAACAGCUUUAUUACGUGAAAUGCACAUACUGACUUAGAAAUCCUAAUUUUGAGCCCCAAAGUACCCUUUGAAAUUUCAAAUGUAUUGCAACAAAUAAAAUCACAGUUUUUUUUUAGGUUUUGGUUGAAGACAGAUGCCUAAAUAUUUUGAUAGAAACAAAAUGUAACACAUGGACUUGUCAUGUACAAAGCAUAGAACAGAGACAUCCCAUUAGUUACUAACAGUACCUUUCUGUAUGAUUCAUAAGGGCUUCAUUUAUAAGUGACAGCUUAAAAGUUACCUUCCCCCACCCGCAAACCCUCCCCCAAAGAAAAACCCUUCUUCACCAAAUAAUAAUUUCAAAUAAGAUAAAGGAUUUUUAAUAAAUAUAUAAGCACUUUAUCCUCCAUAUACAAAAUUUCUUAAAACAAUUUAAAAGGGGGACCAGAUACAAACGUCAGUAACUGUGCUUGCAAAGCCCGGCCUGCUCCUUAGACUUGAGUUUU